rnacentral:rRNA from 1 species
AUACGGAGGGUGCAAGCGUUAUUCGGAAUCACUGGGCGUAAAGGGUGCGUAGGCGGUUUGAUAAGUCUGAUGUGAAAUCCUAUGGCUCAACCAUAGAACUGCAUUGGAAACUGUCAGACUAGAAUACUGAAGGGGCAGAUGGAAUUAGUGGUGUAGGGGUAAAAUCCGUAGAUAUCUCUAGGAAUACCGAAAGCGAAAGCGAUCUGCUGGGAAGUUAUUGACGCUCAGGCACGAAAGCGUGGGGAGCAAACGGGAUUAGAAACCCUAGUAGUCC